CCAGCUGGGUCAAUUAACUUGCAGCUUCCACAGUUUAAAACCGACCUCGAAGUCAAGUGGCAUUCAUGGGUCCAAGGCAAUGAUGGAGAAAACGUUUGUUAUUAAGGAUAUGACAAGCUUGGACUUUUCAUCUCCCUCGGAGCUUGACAGGAAGUUUUUUGGGGGGCAGAGUUUACUGUCUGCCUUGUCGCUGGAACAACUGUCCACCUCAAGAGCGCCAAAUGACACAGGUGAUGGGUCUAAUGCCAGGCUAUCGAUCCUUGCUUCUCUCUGCCUACCUUCGGACACCACUUCUUCCCCGCAGACGUUUUCUAUGAAUAGUUUGAGCACUCAAGAGACUUUCAAUUGUCACCUGACUGUUCCUUUACAAAGCAAGUCCUCCACUCCCUGCCUGCUGCUUCCAAAGCAAAAGACUGCUGCUGUUGACCAGUAUUACAGUGACCUCACUUCAUCUCAAAUGUCAUGGGACCUGUCUUUGAUUAAAUCAGAAGGCAACAGCCCCAGACCCAGCAUGGAGUCCAGUGCUCUGGAGUCCACAUGGAGUCCAAAACCUCAAUCUACACACUCACUUAUUUGAAUUUCUCCCUGAUAUUGCUAAGAACGUCUCCCUGUAUACACUCAACAUGGAGAAAGUUUGGAAGGGGAAAAAGUAUGGUUUGUGAAUGCACAUGAUUAGGUCACUUCUGCAUUAACUGUGGAAAACGGACAAAUCAAACUGGAUUGUAAAACUGAUUUAAAAUGUAUGUAAAGGAUCCAUGUCUGGGACCUUGGUCUGUUUGUCUUUUUAACAAAUGAUUUGAAUAUUUAAAUAAAAGUGUCAUUUUAUUUGCACAA